AGCGUCAGCUGAUGGGCAACAGAAAAGCGCCGCUUUAGUUUCGUGCAUUUCUUUUCUUCUUUUCGCUGUAGUAUGACAAAAGUGAUUUCAACGACAGUAAACGCUUGCGCUUCGUGACAGCUUUUGAGCCAGCGUGACCAGCCGUGGCCGUUGCAGUUUCAAACCAUUUGAACAGAUGAGAUGUGCGGGUGGAAGAGAGAGAGAGAGAGAAAAAAAAAAGAAGUGUGCUUUCUAGCAAUACUUCGAACUGUUACUUCUGAAAUAUUUAGCACACAGGAAAUGUGGCUAGGUGAAAAAAAAGCAACCAGCAAGAUAAGUGUUUGUUUUUUGUCUUGUCGCCUUCCUGUAUCGUCUUCUGGCUGCUCAUCAUGGACUUCGGGAAGUCGCACAAGUUUUUAUUUUUCGUGGCAAAUUUAUGUGCCGCUUCGACAGCGCAUCGUGUCUGAGAGCUGGGCUAGCUGGAAUAGUCGGUGUGACUCCGUGAUGUGAAAUAUAGCGCAAAACUGCGUGUGCAGUGAUUCCGUGAAUAGCGCAGUGCGUUCGAAGUUCGAAGUAGGGCGCAUUUAGCGCGGCAGGGAAGACCUUUUUGGAAGACCUUUUUGGAUUUUUUGACUUGAUGGGCCAAAAAUUUAUCUGGCUGCGUUUGGUGAGAAUGACCUCUGCGGAGGCAUUGUCGCAGCAUAUCUCCUGGUGUCCUGGUCAACAAGUGGCGCCUGUCUUGAGCAACCAUCGUCAUCGCCAGCUGCUUCGACGCAUGUCGCAACAAAUACUUCGGCCCAUCUUCGUCCUGGCGUAAAUCAAACAGCCAUCAGAGAGGACACUACCUGGACGACUUAGGAGUCAUCACCGAAUCAUGUCAAGUUUUCCUGGCAGCGUCUAUGAGCGGUACUUGGUGUCUAUCUUUGUAGAAAUUGAUGAAGGCGACACGGGCCUCAUCAACGUAGACCAGCUACAUCUGGCGCUGUUGUCCAGCAUAACUUAUCUACGGUACCGCAUCAUAUCUCAGAAGACCGCGAGGAUGCUGAUGACCGUGGUCGACCGAGAGCGCACGGGCAUCAUAAACAUGCAGCAGUUCUUCUUGCUGUAUCGAAUUGUCUUCGUCUUGUGGAAAUCCUUCCGACAGUACGACCCAAACAACUCUGGAUGGAUUAGGCACGGCGACCUCCGAGCUGCAAUGGCGUGCAACCGCCUCCAGUUCACGGAUUACCAACUGAACGAGGUGCUGGACUACGACAACACCAGAGGAUGGAUCAGCCUUGACCACUACCUUCAACUCUGUGCUAUGUGCAUUCUCGCCCGCCUUGUCACCCGUUAACCUUGGAUCGUCCAAAGACUUGGGCAUCUGAAGUCCCGGAUCGUCCAAUAUGUUGGGUCGUCCGCAGCAUUAUUUUACGUAAUCAAUAAUUGAUUUUGGAGGGCUAAGCCAGCCUAAAUGCGUGUAAUUCAAUAAAAACAAUCAAUAACUGCCAAGAA